AAUAAUCCGCAUCGUCAGCGUAAGACAAAUACUAAUAAAGAACCUAUUAGUUAACUAAAAGGGAGUUCGACUCAUAGUUGUAAUAUUGCAGGCCUCAUCUCUCACGAGAAUUUGCAAAAGCCUUCGGGUUGUCCUUAAUAAGGACUAGCAGUCAGAGGAAACAAGAAAUAACUAGGCGGACACCCACCGUGUAAAAAAAGGGUUCUUUCUUUUACACUUGCCUUUGCUACGAUGCGGAUUUUUA
rnacentral:other from 1 species